CAGGAAGCUUCUUAUUAUCAGGGUGCAAUGGUUUCCUUGCUGUAGAAGGUGAAUUCAGCUGUGAAUUCUUCAUAGCGAUAGGGGAGCUCAAAUUAUUCACGUUCGUUGAAGUGUUCACACCAGCGCGUUUUUCAGUUGCCAAAGCAAAUGGCUGUGGGACAGUAUGAUGCCCCCAUGCAUUUCUGGUUCCACCAGAUUUCGAAGCAGGGAAGCUGAAAUUUUUAUCCUCGCUUGACUUCUCAGCACCAGGUUUUUCAUUUUUAGCCUCAGAUUGGUCAGUAUCAAAAUUUGUGCUUUUGACACCAAGAACGUCUUGUUUCUCGUUAUGGUUCUUAACAACUGAAUCUUCAGCACCGCAUUCCUUCUCCUUAUAGUCCUUUGCUUCAACACUAUGUCCUGAAGUUUUAGGA
rnacentral:misc_RNA from 1 species